GUGGGAGCUGGCUUGCCUGCGAUGGCGGUGGGUCAGCCAGCCUAUCAGGUACUGGUCCACCGCUAUCGCAGGCAAGCCAGCUCCCAC
rnacentral:misc_RNA from 1 species